rnacentral:rRNA from 1 species
AAACUGAGGAUAAUACCGGAUAGGCAAUUAUUCCUGGAAUGGUUUUUUGUUUAAAUGUUUUUUCGCCUAAGGAUGGGUCUGCGGCCGAUUAGGUAGUUGGUUAGGUAACGGCUUACCAAGCCAUUGAUCGGUACGGGUUGUGAGAGCAAGAGCCCGGAGAUGGAACCUGAGACAAGGUUCCAGGCCCUACGGGGUGCAGCAGGCGCGAAACCUCCGCAAUGUGAGAAAUCGCGACGGGGGGAUCCCAAGUGCCAUUCUUAACGGGAUGGCUUUUCAUUAGUGUAAAGAGCUUUUGGAAUAAGGGCUGGGCAAGACCGGUGCCAGCCGCCGCGGUAACACCGGCAGCUCUAGUGGUAGCAGUUUUUAUUGGGCCUAAAGCGUCCGUAGCCGGUUUAAUAAGUCUCUGGUGAAAUCCUGUAGCUUAACUGUGGGAAUUGCUGGAGAUACUAUUAGACUUGAGACCGGGAGAGGUUAGAGGUACUCCCAGGGUAGAGGUGAAAUUCUGUAAUCCUGGGAGGACCGCCUGUUGCGAAGGCGUCUAACUGGAACGGUUCUGACGGUGAGGGACGAAAGUUAGGGGCGCGAACCGGAUUAGAUACCCGGGUAGUCCUAACUGUAAACGAUGCGGACUUGGUGUUGGGGUGGCUUUGAGCUGCUCCAGUGCCGAAGGGAAGCUGUUAAGUCCGCCGCCUGGGAAGUACGGUCGCAAGACUGAAACUUAA